rnacentral:rRNA from 1 species
ACACUAUGGGAGCUGGCCAUGCCCGAAGUCGUUACCUUAACCGCAAGGAGGGGGGUGCCGAAGGCAGGGCUAGUGACUGGAGUGAAGUCGUAACAAGGUAGCCGUACUGGAAGGUGCGGCUGGAUCACCUCCUUU